CAUGGAUUGAGACGAUGUGGAUGGGCCCAUGCUAAGUGCUGGGCUCAGGAAAGUCCCCGGGCCCAAUCUGCAGAAAUGCAGGCCUGGAAACAGGUAAAUCUUUGAGCUGGGGCUGGUUUCACACUUUCGGGUGUGAGGGCUGAGACAAGUGUGGAGCCUUUGCCAGUGCCGCCAAAGAAAAUUGGCCGAUUCAUACAGUCAUUCACAUGGAUGGUCCUUGCGACUAACAGAACGGGGCUUAUGUCUCCAAUCCAA
rnacentral:RNase_MRP_RNA from 2 species